rnacentral:rRNA from 1 species
UUAAGCGACUAAGCGUACACGGUGGAUGCCCUGGCAGUCAGAGGCGAUGAAGGACGUGCUAAUCUGCGAUAAGCGUCGGUGAGGUGAUAUGAACCGUUAUAACCGGCGAUUUCCGAAUGGGGAAACCCAGUGUGUUUCGACACACUAUCAUUAACUGAAUCCAUAGGUUAAUGAGGCGAACCGGGGGAACUGAAACAUCUAAGUACCCCGAGGAAAAGAAAUCAACCGAGAUUCCCCCAGUAGCGGCGAGCGAACGGGGAGGAGCCCAGAGCCUGAAUCAGUGUGUGUGUUAGUGGAAGCGUCUGGAAAGGCGCGCGAUACAGGGUGACAGCCCCGUACACAAAAAUGCACAUAUUGUGAGCUCGAUGAGUAGGGCGGGACACGUGGUAUCCUGUCUGAAUAUGGGGGGACCAUCCUCCAAGGCUAAAUACUCCUGACUGACCGAUAGUGAACCAGUACCGUGAGGGAAAGGCGAAAAGAACCCCGGCGAGGGGAGUGAAAAAGAACCUGAAACCGUGUACGUACAAGCAGUGGGAGCCUCUUUAUGGGGUGACUGCGUACCUUUUGUAUAAUGGGUCAGCGACUUAUAUUCUGUAGCAAGGUUAACCGAAUAGGGGAGCCGAAGGGAAACCGAGUCUUAACUGGGCGUUAAGUUGCAGGGUAUAGACCCGAAACCCGGUGAUCUAGCCAUGGGCAGGUUGAAGGUUGGGUAACACUAACUGGAGGACCGAACCGACUAAUGUUGAAAAAUUAGCGGAUGACUUGUGGCUGGGGGUGAAAGGCCAAUCAAACCGGGAGAUAGCUGGUUCUCCCCGAAAGCUAUUUAGGUAGCGCCUCGUGAAUUCAUCUCCGGGGGUAGAGCACUGUUUCGGCAAGGGGGUCAUCCCGACUUACCAACCCGAUGCAAACUGCGAAUACCGGAGAAUGUUAUCACGGGAGACACACGGCGGGUGCUAACGUCCGUCGUGAAGAGGGAAACAACCCAGACCGCCAGCUAAGGUCCCAAAGUCAUGGUUAAGUGGGAAACGAUGUGGGAAGGCCCAGACAGCCAGGAUGUUGGCUUAGAAGCAGCCAUCAUUUAAAGAAAGCGUAAUAGCUCACUGGUCGAGUCGGCCUGCGCGGAAGAUGUAACGGGGCUAAACCAUGCACCGAAGCUGCGGCAGCGACACUAUGUGUUGUUGGGUAGGGGAGCGUUCUGUAAGCCUGUGAAGGUGGCCUGUGAGGGUUGCUGGAGGUAUCAGAAGUGUGAAUGCUGACAUAAGUAACGAUAAAGCGGGUGAAAAGCCCGCUCGCCGGAAGACCAAGGGUUCCUGUCCAACGUUAAUCGGGGCAGGGUGAGUCGACCCCUAAGGCGAGGCCGAAAGGCGUAGUCGAUGGGAAACAGGUUAAUAUUCCUGUACUUGGUGUUACUGCGAAGGGGGGACGGAGAAGGCUAUGUUGGCCGGGCGACGGUUGUCCCGGUUUAAGCGUGUAGGCUGGUUUUCCAGGCAAAUCCGGAAAACCAAGGCUGAGGCGUGAUGACGAGGCACUACGGUGCUGAAGCGACAAAUGCCCUGCUUCCGAGGAAAAGCCUCUAAGCAUCAGGUAACAUCAAAUCGUACCCCAAACCGACACAGGUGGUCAGGUAGAGAAUACCAAGGCGCUUGAGAGAACUCGGGUGAAGGAACUAGGCAAAAUGGUGCCGUAACUUCGGGAGAAGGCACGCUGAUAUGUAGGUGAAGCGACUUGCUCGUGGAGCUGAAAUCAGUCGAAGAUACCAGCUGGCUGCAACUGUUUAUUAAAAACACAGCACUGUGCAAACACGAAAGUGGACGUAUACGGUGUGACGCCUGCCCGGUGCCGGAAGGUUAAUUGAUGGGGUUAGCGGUAACGCGAAGCUCUUGAUCGAAGCCCCGGUAAACGGCGGCCGUAACUAUAACGGUCCUAAGGUAGCGAAAUUCCUUGUCGGGUAAGUUCCGACCUGCACGAAUGGCGUAAUGAUGGCCGGGGCUGUCUCCACCCGAGACUCAGUGAAAUUGAACUCGCUGUGAAGAUGCAGUGUACCCGCGGCAAGACGGAAAGACCCCGUGAACCUUUACUAUAGCUUGACACUGAACAUUGAGCCUUGAUGUGUAGGAUAGGUGGGAGGCUUUGAAGUGUGGACGCCAGUCUGCAUGGAGCCGACCUUGAAAUACCACCCUUUAAUGUUUGAUGUUCUAACGUUGGCCCGUAAUCCGGGUUGCGGACAGUGUCUGGUGGGUAGUUUGACUGGGGCGGUCUCCUCCUAAAGAGUAACGGAGGAGCACGAAGGUUGGCUAAUCCCCGGUCGGACAUCAGGAGGUUAGUGCAAUGGCAUAAGCCAGCUUGACUGCGAGCGUGACGGCGCGAGCAGGUGCGAAAGCAGGUCAUAGUGAUCCGGUGGUUCUGAAUGGAAGGGCCAUCGCUCAACGGAUAAAAGGUACUCCGGGGAUAACAGGCUGAUACCGCCCAAGAGUUCAUAUCGACGGCGGUGUUUGGCACCUCGAUGUCGGCUCAUCACAUCCUGGGGCUGAAGUAGGUCCCAAGGGUAUGGCUGUUCGCCAUUUAAAGUGGUACGCGAGCUGGGUUUAGAACGUCGUGAGACAGUUCGGUCCCUAUCUGCCGUGGGCGCUGGAGAACUGAGGGGGGCUGCUCCUAGUACGAGAGGACCGGAGUGGACGCAUCACUGGUGUUCGGGUUGUCAUGCCAAUGGCACUGCCCGGUAGCUAAAUGCGGAAGAGAUAAGUGCUGAAAGCAUCUAAGCACGAAACUUGCCCCGAGAUGAGUUCUCCCUGAGACUUAGAGUCUCCUGAAGGAACGUUGAAGACGACGACGUUGAUAGGCCGGGUGUGUAAGCGCAGCGAUGCGUUGAGCUAACCGGUACUAAUGAACCGUGAGGCUUAACCUU